rnacentral:rRNA from 1 species
UACGAAGGGGGCUAGCGUUGCUCGGAAUCACUGGGCGUAAAGCGCACGUAGGCGGAUUGCUAAGUCAGGGGUGAAAUCCUGGAGCUCAACUCCAGAACUGCCUUUGAUACUGGCGAUCUCGAGUCCGGGAGAGGUGAGUGGAACUGCGAGUGUAGAGGUGAAAUUCGUAGAUAUUAGCUAGAACACCAGUGGCGAAGGCGGCCAACUGGUCCGACACUGACGCUGAGGUGCGAAAGCGUGGGGAGCAAACAGG